GGAAGAGGAGGAGGAGGGGUAGGAAGGCCAGUGAUGUCUGGUAGAAGAGGAGGAAGAGGAAGGCCAGCAAUGUGUCAUAGAGAAGGAGGAGGAGGAAAGCCAGCAAUGUCUGGUAGAGAAGGAGGAGGAUGAGGAGCAGGGCCAGUGAUGUCUGGUAGAGGAGGAGGAUGAGAAGGAGGAGGAAGAGGAAGGCCAGCGAUGUCUGGUAGAGAAGGAGGAGCAGGAUGAUGAUGAUGAAGAGGAGGAGGAGGAGCAGGAAGGCCAGCAAUAUCUGGUAGAGGAGGAAGAGGAUGAGGGCUCUCAAUGUCUGGUAGAGGAGGAGGAGGACGGGGAGGAGGAGGAGGAGGGCCAGUGAUGUCUGGAAGAGAAGGAUGAGGAGGAGGAGGAGGAAGGCCAGUGAUGUCUGGUUCAGGUGGAGGAGGAAGGCCAGCAAUGUCUGCUAGAGGAGAAGGAGGAUGAGGAGAAGCUCUUGUGAUGUCUGGUAGAGAAGGAGGAGAAUGAGGAGGAGGAGGAGGAAGGCCAGCGGUGUCUGGAGGAGGAGGAGGAGGAGGAGGAGGAGGAGGAGGAGGAGGAGGAGGAGGAGCAGGAAGGUGAACAAUGUCUGGAGGUGGAGGAGGUGGAGGAGGAGGGGCAGCGAUGUCUGGUAGAGGAGGAGGAGGGGGAAGAGAGCCAGCAAUGUCUGGUCCAGGAGGAAGAGGAAUAGGAGGAGGAGGAUGGACAGUGAUAUCUUGUAGAAGAGGAGGACCUGCGGCAGCGAAGUCUGGUUUAGGAGGAGGAGGAAGCAGAGGAGGAGGGCCAGAGAUGUCCGGUAGAAGAGGAGGAGGAGGGGCAGCAGUGUAUGGUGGAGGAGGCGUUGUAGAAGUAGGAGGAGGGUGAGCAAUGUAUGGUAGAGUAGGAGGAGGAGAUGGAGGAGGAGGGCCAGUGAUGUCUGGUAGAGGAGGAGUAGGAGGAGAAAGAGGAGGGCCAGCAAUGUCCAGGAGAGGAGGAAAAGGAGGGUUAGCAAUGUCUGGUAAGGGAGUAGGACGAGGAGGAAGAGGGCCAGCCAUGUCUGGUACAGGAGGAGGAGGAGGAGGAAGAGGAGGAGGAGGAGGAAGAUCAGCGAUGUCUGGUAGAAGCGGAGGAGGAGGGCCAGCGAAGUCUGGAAGAGGAGGAGGAGGAGCAGGAGGGCAAGUGAUGUCUGGUAGAGGAGGAGGAGGGCCAGCAAUGUGUGGUAGAGGAGGAGAAGGAAGAGGGUCAGCGAUGUCUGUUAGAGUAGGAGGAGGAGGGUCAGCGAGGUUUCGUAUAGGAGUAGGAGGAGGAAGAAGAGGGCCAUCAAUGUCUAGUGCAGGAGGAAGAGGAGGAGCAUGAGGGUCAGUGAUGUCUGGUAAAAGAGGAGGAGUACGGCCAGCGAAGUCUGGUGGAGGAGGAGGAGGAGGAGGAGGAAAAGGAGGAGGGGCCAGAGAUGUCUGGUAGAGGAGGAGGAGGGCCAGCAGUAUCUGGUAGAGGAGGAGGAGGAGGAAGGCCAGCAAUGUCUAGAAGAUGAGGAGGAGGAGGAGGAGGGUCAGCAAUAUCUAGUAUAGGAGGAGGAGGAGGACGAGGGCCAGUGAUGUCUGGUAGAGGUGGAGGAGGAGGAGGGCCAGCAAUGUAUGUUAGAGGAGGAGGUGGAGGAGGGCCAACAAUGUCUGGUAGAGGAGGAGGAGGAUGAAGGCAAGCAAUAUCUCAUAGAGAAGGAGGAGAAGAUGGAGGAAAGCCAGCAAUGUUUUGUAGAGGAGGAGGAGGAGGAGGAGGAGGAGGAGGAGGAGGAGAGGUUCUAGCAAUGUCUUUUAAAGAAGGAGCAGGAUUAGAAGGAGGAGGAGGAGAAGGAAGGCCAGUGAUGUCCGGUAGAAAAGAAGGAAGAGGAGGAAGAGGAGGAGGAGUUCCAGCAAUGUCUGUUAGAGGAGGCGGAGGAUGAGGGCCCUCAAUGUCUGGUAGAGGAGGAAGAGGAGGAGGAGAAGGAGGGCCAGUGAUGCCUGGUAGAGAAGGAGGAGGAAGAGGAGGAGAAGGAGGCAGAGGAGGAGAGGCAUGGAUGUCUGGAAUAAGAGUAGUAGUAGGAGAAAUACUGCCAGCAAUGUCUGGUACAGGAGGAGGUUGAGGAGGAGGAGGAGGGUCAUCGAUGUCUGGUAGAAGAGGAGGAGGAAGGGAAGGAGGAGGAGGAAGAGAAGAAAGAGGAGAAGGAGGAGGAGGGCUAGUAAUGUCUGAUAGAGAAGGAGGAGGAUUAGGAUGAAGAGUAGGAGGAAGGCCCACAGUGUUUGGUAGAGGAGGAGGAGGAGGAGGGCCAGCGAUGUCUGGUAGAGAAGGAGGAGAAGGAUGAGGGCCAGUGAUGUCUGUCGGAGGAGGAGGAGGAAGAGGGCAAGCGAUGUCUGGUAGAGGAGGAGGAGGCCCAGAAAUGUAUCGGGGAGGAGGAGGAGGGAGCAGAGGGAGGAGAAGGGCCAGUGAUGUCCGGUAGAGGAGGAGGAGCAUCAGCAAUGCCUCUUAGAGGAGUAGGAUGAGGAGAAAGAGGGCCAAUGAUGUCUGGAAGGCGAUGAUUGAGGGGGGGAGGACAAAGAAGAGGGGGAGGGCCAGCAAUAUCUGGCAGAGGAGGAGGAGUAAGGCCAGCAAUGUCUUUUAGGGGAGGAUGAGUGCACUGAAUGUCUGGUAGAGGAGGAGGAGGAGGAGCUGGAGGAGUAGGGCCAGUGAUGUCUGGUAGAGAAGGAGGAGGAAGAGGAGGAGAAGGAGGAAGAGGAGGAGGAGGGGGGGCCAGAGAUGUCUGGUGGAGGAGGAGUAGGGCCAGAAAAGUAUGGUAGAAGAGGAGAAGGAGGAGGAGGGCCAGCAAUGUCUGGCGGUGGUGGUGGAGGAGGAGGAGGAGGAGGUGGAGGGCCAGCGAUGUCUGGAAGAGGAAGAUGAGGAGGAGGAGGAGGGCCAGCGAUGUCUUGUAGAAGAGAAGGAGGAGGAAGAGAAGGAGGAGGAAUGAAGGAGGAGGAGAAGGGAGGAGGAGGAGUAGGGCUAGCGAUGUCUGCUAGAGAAGGAGGAGGAUGGGGGAGGAGGAGGAAGGCCAGCAAUGUCUGUUAGAGGAGGAGCAGGAGGACCAACGAUGUCUGGUAGAGGAGGAGGAGCAGGAUGAAGGCCCGCCAUGUCCAGUAGAGGAGGAGGAGGAGGGUCAGCAAUAUCUCUUAGAGGAGUAGGAGGAGGAGGAUUAGGGCCAGCAAUGUCUGGUAUAGGAGGAGGAGGAGGAGGGUCAGUGAUGUCUGGUAGAAGAGGAAGAGGAAGACCAGCAAAGUCUGCUGGAGGAGGAGGAGGAGGAGGAAGAGGGUCAGAGAUUUCUGGUACAGGAGGAGGAGGAGGGCCUGCAAUGUAUGGUAGACGAGGUAGAGGAUGAGGAGGGCCAGGAAUGUCUGGUAGAGGAGGAGGAGUUCGAGAAGGAGAAGGAGGGUCAGCAAUGUCUGGUAGAAGAGUAGGAGGAAGCCCAGCGAUGUCUGGUAUUGGAGGAGGAGGAGGAGGGCCAGCAAUGUCUGGCAGAGCAGAAGGAGGAGGGCCAGCAAUGUAUGGUAGAGGAGGACGAGAAGGAGGAGUUGGAUGGCCAGUGAUGUCUAGUAGACUAGGAGGAACAGGGUCAGUGAUGUCUGGUAGAGGAGAAUUAGGAGGAAGAGGGCUAGCAAUGUUUGGUAGAGGAGGAGGAGGAGGGAGGAGGAUUGUCAGCGAUAUCUGGUAGAAGAGGAGGAGGGUCAGCGAUGUCUAGUGGAGGAGGAGGAGGAGGAGGAGGAUGAGGAGUAGGGUCAGAGAUGUCUGGUAGUGGAGGAGGAGGGCCAGCAAUGUGUGGUAGAGGAGGAGGAGAAGGAGGAGGAAGGCCAGCAAAGUCUGGUAGAGGAUUAGGAGGAGGAAGUGGAGGGCCAGCAAUGUAUGGUAGAGGAGGAGGAGGAGGAGGAGGAGGAGGAAGGCCAUCAAAGUCUGGUAGAGGAGGAGUUGGAGGAGGUGGAGGGUCAGCAAUUUCUGGUAGAGGAGGACGAAGAAGAGGAGGGAGGGGGGAGGAGAGCCACAGAUGUCCGGUAGAGGAGGAGGAGGAGGGCCUGCAAUGUAUGGUAGAUGAGGAGGAGGACCAGGGCUCUGAAUAUCUGGUAGAGGACAAGGAGGAGGAGUAGCAGGAGGAGGAGGAGGAGGGCCACUGAUGUAUGGUAGAGAAGGAGGGAGAUGAGAAGUAGUAGGAGGAGGAAGGCCAGCGAUGUCUGUUAGAGAAGGAGGAGGGUGUGGAUGAGGAGGUGGAAGGCCAGCAAUGUCUGUUAGAGGAGGAGGAGGGCCAGCAAUGGAUGGUAGAGUACGAGGAGGAGAAGGAGGGCCAGCAAUGUCUUGCAGAAGAGGAAGAGGAGAGCCAGCGAUGUCUUGUAGAGGAGGAGUAGGAGGAGGAGGAGGACCAGAGAUGUCAGGUAGCAGAGGAAGAGGAAGGCCAGCAAUUUGUGGUAGAGGAGGAGGAGAACCAGCAAUGUCUGGUAGAGGAGGGUGAGGUAGAAGAGGAAGAGGAGGAAAAGGAGGAGGCAGAGGAGGAUUAAGGGCAGUGAUGUCUGGUAGAUGUGGAGGAGGACGAAAGCCAGCAAUGUCUCAUAGAUUAGGAGGAGGAGGAGGAAAGCCAGCAAUGUCUUGUAGAGGAGGAGGAGGAGGAGGAGGAUAAGAGCUAGUGAUGUCUGGUAGAGGAGCAGGAUGAGAAGGAGGAGGAAGAGGAGGAAGAAGGCCAGCGAUGUCUGGUAGAGAAGGAGGAGGAGGGGG
ensembl:lncRNA